rnacentral:rRNA from 1 species
UACGUAGGUGGCGAGCGUUGUCCGGAUUUAUUGGGCGUAAAGGGCGCGUAGGCGGCUCGGCACGUCCGUUGUGAAAUCGCCCGGCUCAACUGGGCGGGGUCAGCGGAUACGGCCGAGCUUGAGCAAGCUAGGGGGCAAUGGAAUUCCCGGUGUAGUGGUGGAAUGCGUAGAUAUCGGGAGGAACACCGGUGGCGAAGGCGGCGACCUGGGUAGAUACUGACGCUGAGGCGCGAAAGCGUGGGGAGCAAACAGG